AUACCUCGAUGCCGUAACUAGAUCUACCAAAUGGAAUAUUGGUCAAACUGACAAAAUGACUGCAUGCCAGCGACGGGCACACUAAGAAAACCACAUCAGUUCAUACUGCCGAGGGUUUACAGAUAAGACGCGCGUGUACAGGGUAGGUGCG